AGUCACCUCUCGGUCGCUCAGGCUAGCGGAUGUGUGUGUGUGUGUGUUUAUGGCGACACACCAAGGUUAUUACAUUAAACGAAAACAAGCAAAAUAACUACAAUUAAAAUUGGGGGAAAAAAAAUAACGAAAUAAAAUAAAAACGAAAAUGUUUUUUUAAAACAAUAACUAACUGAAAAUACAUUUUACGUUUACAAAACUAACUAAAGUUAACUAAUGAUAGCAAAAAUGUCCUUAGUUUUCGUCUGCACAAUGCUCUUUGCACCGGACUAUUGCAAUAUUCGUCUUUCGAACUGCUCUAAGUGCUAGAGGACUCUGCAAAAAAGAAUAAAUAAAAUGUGCCAGCAUGACCAGAUAACUAGCAACCCUUUAUUGCUCAGUGACUGCGUUUGUCAAUGUUUUUAUGUGUUCUCUGUCAAUUGACCGUCUGUUGUCGCACUCGAGCGGCGCCAACGGCCGGAGACAAAUUCCUCGUGUGUUUUUUGAACAUACUUGGCAAAUAAAGAUGAUUGUGAUUCUGAUUUGAUCGAAGAAAGAACGUUGAACAGUCGUUUGGGAAUUGAAGUUCUUUGACUGUGUGUCGCCUCGAAACUAAGUCAUCGAGCAACAGCCAAUAAAAAGGCGCUACGCGAUGACGUCACUUCUCGACACUCCCUCGGCGCUCGCCGCUGGCUGGUUGACAACUUGACAGAUUUGAAAUGGCUCCCCUUCGUGUGUCACUCAACUCAGCCCGAAACGCGACACCAGAUGAUUGCCAUGCUUUCUCUGGGGGCAACAAUGGACAAGAGAAACCCAAGUAAAAACAUCCAUCCAUCCAUCUUCUUCCGCUGAGCCGAGGUCGGGUUGCGGGGAUAGUCGCUUCAGCAGGGACGCCCAGACUUCCCUCUCCCCAGCCACUUCAUCCGGCUCCUCCGGGGGGAUCCCGAGGCACUCCGAGGCCAGCUGGGAGACAUAGUCUCUCCAGUGUGUCCUGGGUCGUCCCCGGGGUCUCCUCCCAGUGGGACAUGUCCGGAACACCUCACCAGGGAGGUUUCCGGGAGGCAUGGAGGAGGAUGCCGGUCCGACCUGGCAGGCCCAAACGUAUCGUGAGGGUCUGCUGGGAACGUCUGGCAGAAUCCCCUGUCAGAAGGAGUUUCAACUCCCACCUCCCGGGGAGGCGGGGGACAUUGAAUCCGAGUCACGGUUGACACGCCUCUGCGACAUCACGUGGACAUCGGGGACAGUGCCUCUGGAUUGGCAGACUGGGGUGGUGGUCCCCCUUUUUAAAAAGGGAAGGUGAUACCGCUUGCCACGUUGACCCAUUUCCACGGUGCUUCGUGACUGUCACCAUGAUAACGCUGCGUGUUUCUCCCCCCACCAGUUGCAGUUUCCUGAGCGCGGCCGCUCAUUGGUUGUGCGGUCGCUAGGUAACGGACCACGCCACCACCGCCCUGCUGCACUACCAACUGCCGCGGAUGCCCGACGUGCUCGUGCGCUCCUUCGUGGGCGGAAAACACCAAACUGCGGCAAGCGCCGGCUCACGCUUGCUCACGUCUCCUCGCAAGACGUGUCGGACCCCGCGUCGGGAUCCGUCCCGCAAGCGAACCGGCUCGAUUGCAGAGAAAGAAAGCACAAAUCGUCCUCUGAGGGUUGUGCGAAAACUGUGGGUGGGUUUGCGCAAUAGCCCCGAGACCGCCUCUUGUCACUCAUCGGCCAAUCGCAACGGUCAUCUGCACUCUCCCCCCUCGCGUGCACUUUGGCCUGCCUUCUUCUUUUUUUUCUGGAGUUCAUGGAAAACCAGCUCAUCCGUGCGUCAUCGCCGACAACUGGCCGAACCAAAACAAAUAAUAAACACUUGGAAAAUGUA